CACAUCAUGUGUUCAUCCACCUUUCUACUCCUGGUGAGGAACUAGCAAGAUGUCCUGGCUCACUGUCUCACAUCAAGGAUAAAUUUGGGAUUUCUGGAUUCAAGAAGGAAGAAGCUUCAAUCAGGGAGACCACACAGGUUCCAGUUCAACUGCCAAUUAGAUGGACUGUCUGAAGGUCUGAGAGGGGCAGAAAAGCAAGUCUGGACUUGAAGGAGUUUAUCAUCUAUCAGGGUUUGUAUUAGGUCCUAUGAAGACAGAGAGCAAGACCCGUGUGUCCUCUGCCCUUGAGGAGAUUACAGUGUGAUGGAGUGCUCCAAAUGCUAAUUUCAAAGAGGGGCCACUGGACUGGUAGGUCAAGGAAAUGAUGCCACAGUGGGGUACUCAGCAAAGCAUUUGGCACAGUUUUUCCUGAUGCUAUCCUUGUGUACAAAAUGAAGGCAUAUGGCCUAGAGGU